rnacentral:rRNA from 1 species
UCGGGAAUAUUGGGCAAUGGGCGAAAGCCUGACCCAGCAACGCCGCGUGCACGAUGAAGGCCUUCGGGUCGUAAAGUGCUUUUUGGGAGGAUGAGGAAGGACAGUACUCCCAGAAUAAGUCACGGCUAACUACGUGCCAGCAGCCGCGGUAAAACGUAGGUGACGAGCGUUAUCCGGAAUUACUGGGCGUAAAGCGCGUGCAGGCGGCUCAGCAAGUCGGGCAUGAAAUCUCCUAGCCUAACUGGGAGACGCUGUCCGAUACUGUUGGGCUUGAGGGCAGUAGAGGGUGGUGGAAUUCCGCAUGUAGUGGUGAAAUGCGUAGAUAUGCGGAGGAACACCAGUGGCGAAAGCGGCCACCUGGACUGCACCUGACGCUGAAGCGCGAAAGCUAGGGGAGCAAACGGG